UACGUAGGAGGCGAGCGUUGUCCGGAGUUACUGGGCGUAAAGGGUGCGCAGGCGGUGGCCCGCGUGGGCGGUGAAAGCUCCUGGCUCAACUGGGAGAGGGCCGUCCAGACGGGGUCACUUGAGGGGCGGAGAGGGGCGUGGAAUUCCGGGUGGAGCGGUGAAAUGCGUAGAGAUCGGAAAGAACACCAACGGCGAAAGCACUCUGCUGGGCCGACACUGACACUGAGAGACGAAAGCUAGGGGGAGCGAAUGGG
rnacentral:rRNA from 1 species